UGGUGCCAACAAUAAGCUCAUCUUCGGGCAGGGGACAUCCGUGAAAGUAAUUCCUGAGCUCGACAACUCUCCACCCAGCAUCUACCCUCUGACGUCGGACAACAAGAAUCUGUUGGCCUGCCUGGUCACAGACUUCUUCCCCGGCAACAUCUCGGUUGGGAGCAGACACAAUGCCAAACUCACAUCCCUCAAUGCCUCCCUCGUGGUGAUGAAGGGCUCUGGGGAAGCGAGCUACGGGACGGUGCUCUGGGGGCCCAGGGACGAGCUGGCCUGCACCGCUGACCAUGACAACCAAAACUUUCAGUUGACAGACUUCGACGAGGAAGAUGACACCUGCAUGAUCGUGGAGAUGGACGAGAACUUCGAAACAGAUAAGAACCUGAACUUCCUGUCGCUCACCCUGCUGGGCCUGAGAAUCGUUUUCGUGAAAACCGUGGCCAUCAACCUGCUCCUCACCCUCUCCCAGUGGAAGAGAUAAGGCGGCGAAACGCGGGGAGAGCCGCUCCGAGACCCGCGCCCCCACGCCGCAGGAGGAGGACACGCGCGGUGCCCGCCGCCGACCCACCGCGCUGCCACCCGCUUCGCCCAUGGCCCUGCCAGCCGCUUGCUCGUCGCUCGCCCGGCUCCACGAACGCUUCGUGUUCGGAUGGAAAAGGACGUUUGCCCUGCUUUUGGCCAGACAAUCCCCAUUUUCCCGGGGAAGCCUCCCCCUUCCCAGCAGACACCCCACCCCCUGG